GUUCUCUUAGACUGCAGACAUGUGUGCAUGUUGCAUUUGAGUGUGUGUGUGGCCUUAAUGGCCAAAAGCUAUAAUUGUGUGAAUCUUUUUGUUGUGCCUUUCGUGACUCAGAAUCUCUACCAUAUGGUAUAUUUUGAUGAAAUGUUUUGGACAAUCUAUAUUUGAAACAAAAUUUGGACAAUGGAGACAAUUAACAAAGAAGAAAAACUAUUUGGACAAAAAUAUGAUGCACAAAUUCAACCAUGAGUGCAGCAAACUACAACAUCAUACAACUGAGCCAGCAGCUACAUCAUCAUCUGCAGUAAGUUUCAGAGCCAAUCAACUCCUUGCUAGCAACUAAGGGCAGCUUGAUGGACAUACAACAAACCCAGCGGGCAAUAAUGACUGAAGCACAGAACACCAGAGGCCAGAUGCCACUUCCACACCUUCAUUCUUUUGAUGCAUAACCUGAGGAAUGGACAGUGUACCACUUGCAGUUUGAACAGCAUACAAUAUAUCAGAAAUUGUACCAGUUGGACCCGAUUGGCAUUAGAACGUAUUUGGAAUGGAUUGUACAAACUUUGAGACUGCUUCUGUGACAGAAGGAGAUAUGAGUCUUCAGUCUGGCAGUGUGCUUCACCAUAUUAAUCGAUUACCAUCUGUUUAAGUAGGAUAUUUUCCUGCAUUCCACAGUUAUAGUA